rfam:Lupinus angustifolius cultivar Tanjil contig_43020, whole genome shotgun sequence.
AGGACUGUGGCCCAAUGGAUAAGGUGCUGGUCUAUGGAACCAGAGAUUUCGGGUUCUAUCCCCAGCAGAGUUG